GAAUUUUGUUUUUUGUUUCAUUUCCAGAAACAAGACUCACCGACAGUUUUUGUACCAUCGCCACCACAGUUUGUAUCCACAACAUCAAACAGAAGUUGGCCUUUAUUUCUCUGUUGCUAAUGUGUAUGGAGAGGCUCUCAUGGACUUCAAAGGAAUUAUGAUUUGUGCCUUCUGAAAGCGCAUCUUCGGUAAUCACCUUUUCCUACAGCCUGAAGACAGUGAAUGCUUUCUGGUUUCUUUCCUUCCACAUGUCCCAAAUCAGUGUCUGAAUGAGUCUGAACAAUGAUGAAAUGCCUCCCAGGGGAGUUGGCAGCUUUCUGAAGACUGAAGGAGGCUGUCCCAGUUCUGGCCUCUCUGCUGUGAGCAUCUUUAAAAGAUACAUCAAAC
rnacentral:lncRNA from 1 species